CUAGGAGCAGGAGGGGACCGUCAAGGGAAGUCACUGCAAAGGCUGCCAAGGAAGACCCAAGCUCUGCACUCGGGGUCUCAAUAGCGCAAUCCAGCCCUGGGACCGGGCAAAUGACUCAUCUCUGUUGUUGAGACCAGUCACCACAGCUGACCCUGCGUCUUCCCUUCAGCUUUUCUUCCCAUCAGAGAGUGGAAUCUGGCCAAACGGAAGGCCCCGGUCUCUAUCGAGCAGCCAUCAAAAGCCAACGCUGGCUGCUGCAGAUGUAACUCGGAGGUAGAGGGUUUGGCUAGCAUGCAGAAGACCCUGGAUCCCACCCCAGCGCUGCAAACCUAACAACACUCACAAAAAAUGAACGCCUGUGCUAUCGGGUGUCACAAUGAAGAGUCACCUGCAGCCAAGCACAGAGUGUCCCCGGUGUGUGGAAGAACAGAGAGGACAGGCAGUGACAGAUGUACAGGCUGCAAACUGCAGUGCUGAUCUACUCAGAGCCCGCUCCUUCUCCCCAGGGCAUAAACCUUUCGAAUGACAAGGAAGAACUAGAAAAACAGCUGUGGCAAGUUCUCAACAACUGGCUGAGAUGCUUGGGGUGUCUGCUAGCCAACGCUUAGGCAUUUGGUGUCUACCAGAACCUAGACAUUAAAGCAUGGAUUGUUUCCACAAAGGAGGGUAAGAAGUGGCUUGAAGACAGCAAGAUUUAGCUCCAAAUGUCAGGACCCAGCACUAAAGAAGGCAGGAAGCAGGAGGAAUCUCUGUG
rnacentral:lncRNA from 1 species